rnacentral:piRNA from 1 species
UUGCACGAAGUGCCUCUGGUGAUGGCGA